rnacentral:rRNA from 1 species
UACGAAGGGGGCUAGCGUGGCUCGGAAUCACUGGGCGUAAAGGGUGCGUAGGCGGGGCUUUAAGUCAGAGGUGAAAUCCUGGAGCUCAACUCCAGAACUGCCUUUGAUACUGAGGAUCUUGAGUUCGGGAGAGGUGAGUGGAACUGCGAGUGUAGAGGUGAAAUUCGUAGAUAUUCGCAAGAACACCAGUGGCGAAGGCGGCUCACUGGCCAGAUACUGACGAUGAGGCACGAAAGCGUGGGGAGCAAACAGG